CUUACCAAGGCUACGAUGGGUAGGGGUCCUGAGAGGGAGAUCCCCCACACUGGUACUGAGACACGGACCAGACUCCUACGGGAGGCAGCAGUGAGGAAUAUUGGACAAUGGGCGCAAGCCUGAUCCAGCCAUGCCGCGUGCAGGAUGACGGUCCUAUGGAUUGUAAACUGCUUUUAUACGAGAAGAAACACUCCUACGUGUAGGAGCUUGACGGUAUCGUAAGAAUAAGGAUCGGCUAACUCCGUGCCAGCAGCCGCGGUAAUACGGAGGAUCCAAGCGUUAUCCGGAAUCAUUGGGUUUAAAGGGUCCGUAGGCGGUUUAAUAAGUCAGUGGUGAAAGCCCAUCGCUCAACGGUGGAACGGCCAUUGAUACUGUUAAACUUGAAUUAUUAGGAAGUAACUAGAAUAUGUAGUGUAGCGGUGAAAUGCUUAGAGAUUACAUGGAAUACCAAUUGCGAAGGCAGGUUACUACUAAUUGAUUGACGCUGAUGGACGAAAGCGUGGGUAGCGAACAGGAUUAGAUACCCUGGUAGUCCACGCCGUAAACGAUGGAUACUAGCUGUUGGGAGCAAUCUCAGUGGCUAAGCGAAAGUGAUAAGUAUCCCACCUGGGGAGUACGUUCGCAAGAAUGAAACUCAAAGGAAUUGACGGGGGCCCGCACAAGCGGUGGAGCAUGUGGUUUAAUUCGAUGAUACGCGAGGAACCUUACCAAGGCUUAAAUGUAGAUUGACCGAUUUGGAAACAGAUCUUUCGCAAGACAAUUUACAAGGUGCUGCAUGGUUGUCGUCAGCUCGUGCCGUGAGGUGUCAGGUUAAGUCCUAUAACGAGCGCAACCCCUGUUGUUAGUUGCCAGCGAGUCAAGUCGGGAACUCUAACAAGACUGCCAGUGCAAACUGUGAGGAAGGUGGGGAUGACGUCAAAUCAUCACGGCCCUUACGCCUUGGGCUACACACGUGCUACAAUGGCCGGUACAGAGAGCAGCCACUGGGCGACCAGGAGCGAAUCUAUAAAACCGGUCACAGUUCGGAUCGGAGUCUGCAACUCGACUCUGUGAAGCUGGAAUCGCUAGUAAUCGGAUAUCAGCCAUGAUCCGGUGAAUACGUUCCCGGGCCUUGUACACACCGCCCGUCAAGCCAUGGAAGCUGGGGGUGCCUGAAGUCGGUGACCGCAAGGAGCUGCCUAGGGUAAAACUGGUAACUAGGGCUAAGUCGUAACAAGGUA
rnacentral:rRNA from 1 species